UUCUCUUCUUUUUCUUCUCUUUUUUUUUCCCCUCUUUUUCAAACAAAAUUUCAUAAGAGAAAAAGAAGUGACCUUGUAAUAGUUCUACCAGUGCAUUAGCAGGUGUUUAUUACAGUUAAAACCUGUGCUUAAGUGCACAUCUGACUCCAUAAUGAGCAAGUUAAUCAGGUUUUCAAAUAUGCUCUAAUCUUGAGAACACAUUUUAAUCCAUCCAGGUAAAGUUCAACACAUAAUCACGACCCUGCUUUACUUUUAUGACUCUCCAAACAGUGAUUAAAUAAGCAUUUGUGUCUAGAGAAUACAAUGGCGCCUUGAGUUUCCAUAAAUGAAGCCAAAUGACAUUACCUUG
rnacentral:misc_RNA from 1 species